rnacentral:rRNA from 1 species
AAAUGACGGUACCUGACUAAGAAGCCCCGGCUAACUACGUGCCAGCAGCCGCGGUAAUACGUAGGGGGCAAGCGUUAUCCGGAUUUACUGGGUGUAAAGGGAGCGUAGACGGCUUUGCAAGUCUGACGUGAAACUCCGGGGCUCAACUCCGGAACUGCGUUGGAAACUGUAAGGCUUGAGUGCCGGAGAGGUAAGCGGAAUUCCUAGUGUAGCGGUGAAAUGCGUAGAUAUUAGGAGGAACACCAGUGGCGAAGGCGGCUUACUGGACGGCAACUGACGUUGAGGCUCGAAAGCGUGGGGAGCAAACAGGAUUAGAUACCCUGGUAGUCCACGCGGUAAACGAUGAAUACUAGGUGUUGGGGGACAAAGUCCUUCGGUGCCGCCGCAAACGCAUUAAGUAUUCCACCUGGGGAGUACGUUCGCAAGAAUGAAACUCAAA